UACAGGGGGGGCAAGCGUUGUCCGGAUUCAUUGGGCGUAAAGAGCGUGUAGGCGGCCAGGUAGGUCGGUUGUGAAAACUGGAGGCUCAACCUUCAGAGGUCGACCGAAACCAUCUGGCUAGAGUCCGGGAGAGGAGAGUGGAAUUCCUGGUGUAGCGGUGAAAUGCGCAGAUAUCAGGAAGAACACCCGUGGCGAAAGCGGCUCUCUGGAACGGUACUGACGCUGAGACGCGAAAGCGUGGGGAGCGAACAGG
rnacentral:rRNA from 1 species